CAUCUAUAAAUUCCGUAGAGAACUUUUGAAACCAUAUCAUAGUUCUUCUAUUAAUGUUCAUUCUUGUCUGGUGAAUAAUUCUUGAAUAACAUCCUUGCAGAUCUUUCCCCCAAAUGAAAAGAUAGGGUACAUAAAUAAUAUGCGUUCGUUGCGAAUGGAGGAGAUUCCUGAAGAAGAGAAAAACCGUGGUCCUCAGGAUUGCUUGAUUCAUGUUUACCAUUUCACAAAAGAUACCUCCCAAAAGCUGAUGUACUUUGGAGAACCCUUUUUCUUCCUUACCCAUGAAGUCGAGACUUUGGCCAACAUUAAAGUGCGUAUACAGAAGAAAUUGCAGGUUCCUGACAAGGAGUUUG